rnacentral:rRNA from 1 species
GACGAACGCUGGCGGCGUGCUUAACACAUGCAAGUCGAACGGAAAGGCCCUGCUUUUGUGGUGUGCUCGAGUGGCGAACGGGUGAGUAACACGUGAGUAACCUGCCCUUGACUUUGGGAUAACUUCAGGAAACUGGGGCUAAUACCGGAUAGGAUCUCCUGCUGCAUGGUAGGGGUUGGAAAGUUUCGGCGGUUGGGGAUGGACUCGCGGCUUAUCAUCUUGUUGGUGGGGUAGUGGCUUACCAAGGCUUUGACGGGUAGCCGGCCUGGGAGGGUGACCGGCCACAUUGGGACUGAGAUACGGACCAGAGUCCUACGGGAGGCAGCGGUGGGGAAUAUUGCACAAUGGGCGGAAGCCUGAUGCAGCAACGCCGCGUGCGGGAUGACGGCCUUCGGGUUGUAAACCGCUUUCGCCUGUGACGAAGCGUGAGUGACGGUAAUGGGUAAAGAAGCACCGGCUAACUACGUG